GAUGAAGAACGCAGCGAAAUGCGAUAAGUAAUGUGAAUUGCAGAAUUCAGUGAAUCAUCGAAUCUUUGAACGCACAUUGCGCCCGCCGGUAUUCUGGCGGGCAUGCCUGUUCGAGCGUCAUUUCAACCAUCAAGCCCCAGGCUUGUGUUGGGGACCUGCGGCUGCCGCAGGCCCUGAAAACCAGUGGCGGGCUCGCUGUCACACCGGGCGUAGUAGAUUUUAUCUCGCUCAGGGCGUGCUGCGGGUUCCGGCCGUUAAAAAGCCUUUUUUACCCAAGGUUGACCUCGGAUCAGGUAGGAAGACCCGCUGAACUUAAGCAUAUCAAUAAGCGGAGGA
rnacentral:misc_RNA from 1 species